CUUGUGUCUUCCUCAUCCAAAUGGGUUAUUGAUUCUGGUGCAACAGAUCACAUGACAGGAUCUUACGACGAAGCAGAUUAUUGGUAGAGGACGUGAGUCAGGUGGUCUCUACAUUCUGGAAAAUCAUGUACCGCGAUCGCUUGUUUGCUCCAGUACCUUAACACCUCUUGAAGCUCAUUGUAGAUUGGGUCAUCCUUCUUUGUCUACCAUGAAGAAGUUGUGUCCUCAGUUUCAGUCUUUAUCAG